rnacentral:rRNA from 1 species
AUGAACGCUAGCGACAGGCCUAACACAUGCAAGUCGAGGGGCAGCACAAGGAGCAAUCUGAGGUGGCGACCGGCGCACGGGUGAGUAACACGUAUGCAACCUGCCUGUAAGCGGGGAAUAACCCGUUGAAAGACGGACUAAUACCGCAUAAUACUAAAUUACUGCAUGGUAAUUUAUUUAAACAUUUUAUGGCUUACAGAUGGGCAUGCGCAUGAUUGGCUAGUUGGAGAGGUAACGGCUCCCCAAGGCAACGAUCAUUAGGGGUUCUGAGAGGAAGGUCCCCCACACUGGUACUGAGACACGGACCAGACUCCUACGGGAGGCAGCAGUGAGGAAUAUUGGUCAAUGGACGAGAGUCUGAACCAGCCAAGUCGCGUGCAGGAAGAAUGUUCCCUAUGGAUUGUAAACUGCUUUUACAGGGGAAUAAAGUGCAUCACGUGUGAUGUUUUGUAUGUACUCUGCGAAUAAGGAUCGGCUAACUCCGUGCCAGCAGCAGC